rnacentral:lncRNA from 1 species
GAAACAGCUAUUCAUAAUUAUUGUCACUGUAUAUUACGUUUUAAUUUUCCAUCUGCAUGUAUAAAGAUAUGUAAGAUCAGACCUAUAAGACCAGGCAGUUUUUGUGGUAAUCCUAUUUUCGUGAAGUUAUUGAGAUAAGUAACUAUCUAGUGCAAAUCUAUGUCUUCAUUGUCCAGGAUGCACUUCAAAAAGGGAUGAAUUUCAUUACAUGCUGAAAGAGCUAGAUCAUCACACCUGCGUGUAAAAUGAUAUAUAUUUAAGCAAGCAUAACAAUCAGUGGGCCACUAUCUUUUCUGUCAGUGUUAAACUUGAUAAACCUACCAGCAUACUCCUCCCACAAAGUGCAGUUAAUUGAGAUGUCACUGUAAGCAUAGAUGGUUGAAUAACAAUGAAUAUUGAAGCUGACAAUAAGUUAGAAUAUAUACCUUAAAUCCGAAAUUGAGAGGUAAAAAUGAAUAUUGAAAUCCGAAAUUAGUUAGAAUAUAUACCUUAAAUCUUUCAUUGUAAAGUUGACUUGUAGUUUUUUGCCGGUUCCUUCUGUAAGCUGACAAUAUCCCAUGUCCUGGACAACUCCAAUAGCAUCUAAAUAUGCAUACACAUGUAAUGUUAUAGUUAUGAGAUAAAUAUAAGGAAUAUUUGAAUAACAGUCAUAUACUCUGUUUUUGUCUACGCUACAAGACAAGAAAAAUAGCUCUGCCUGCAGAAAUGUUCCUUCAAGUUAUGAAUAGAUUUGAACGUGAUCCUUUAUAGAACAACAUCCAAAUCUGGCAAAAGAUCAUUGGUGAUUGAUCAAGGUUUCACAACGACUCUAUUGACGUGCUUAAAGAUCUCAACGACUCUUUCACACCUCUAUAUAAAGGAGUGAAGACUUGAAGAACUCAAGAGACAGACAACAAUUGAAAAAGCGCCCAAACUCUGCUAAAAUUGUUUCACAUAAAAGCACUUUGAAUUUCUGUGUUCAUUUGAUAUAUCUUAGAAAUUCUUAAGUCUAGAGUCUUUA